CGCAGAAGAAAUAUACGGCAGCCAAUUCGUUCCUUUUGCACAGCCGGGAGCCAGAUGUUGGAGGCAGAACUCAGUGAGCAGAUUUAAUCCAUUGACACACAUUGGAAGAAAAAGAAAUUUCCGCAUCAACUCGAGGUCUAUGGCUGCCUUGAGAAGAGAUCUGAGAACCUGACACAUCACUUAAGAUGGGACAGCAUGGGAAAAUAUUAGCCAAGGGCCGAGUUGAAAGCUUUUCUUCUUCAAAAGGCGAAUCUUCUACACUGAGCUAUAGCAUUUGCAAGGCUAAAAUGCAGCACAGUAUUAAACAGCAAGGGGACCAUGUCAGACUGUUGCAGGAAGCAGUAAAUUGCAGAGUUUGUGGACUCUGUUCAGGCACAACAAGAAAUCAUUGUAACUCAAGUGAUGAAGUCGAAACUACAGGAAUCCAGUGGAAACUAUUUUUCAUGCUCUGAAUUGCAGCUAAAGUUGUGGCUUUAAACUGUGUCAAAUAAAUGGCAGCACUUGAGAUCCAGAUCUGCACAGCCUUAAGUACCAAGUUGAAUCCAGCUCUUACAGCUUAUAAUGAGUCCAAGAAUAAAAAUCACUUUUCUUGGGACUAAUUUGUUUCCACGGAGUAUUUCAUGACUCCAGGAAAGCUCCUGUCUUUCUCAAUAAGGGAGACCUAAUCCCAAGCAGCUGCUGAAUUCACAUUGAAUUGGUGUGAGUAUGGCAAAGCACUUAACCUGCUCUCAGCUCUUAUCCCGAGCCUUGCAGUGCUUUGUGUGCACCUCAGAAAGUUUCCAGUUGAUUGGAUGGAGUUCCACAGCCUGAGUUUCAGUUAACUGAGGAUGUCAGACAGACUCAGGAUGCGAGAUCUGUUACAUAACACAAAACUGUGUGAAGGUUAAAAAUUAUAAAAUUAAAUUAACCUGGACUUUAGUGCUAAUCAAGAAUAUAUCAUAAUGAGGCUGGACGUCAGUCCUGGGUGCUAAGCAGAGGGAAAGAACUUAUUCCAUCGAGAGUUUCAUCUGCCAUGGCCAACACGACAAAUGGCUCAAACUUCCAGUUUCACUUCAAAGGGUUUUUCCAGAGUACUGCUGAUCUUCUUCAGGCCUUUAUCUCCAGGCUUGCACCUACUCAUGUGCUUUCGCCUCUUCCCAAUGGUUUCAAAAUUCCCUCUCUAGAAAUAUCUAUAAUUUUACUAAAGAAAAACAAUCAGUCAUUCAUUUCUACUACGUAAGUUUGGAUUACAGUUGACAACAUCCAAUGAAAAAGGGGCACUGGAAUUACCUUCCAGUGGAAAACGCUUCACAAGCGAUGUUCAGUAAUGUGACGUGUGAGAAAAGAACUAGAUAAAAUAAAGCAAGUUUUAGGAUACCAAUUCCUUAGAAUUAAUAGCUAUAGCUCAUUAGAAAGCUUAAUGAGGUAUAAUAAACCAUGGAGAUCUUUUUCUACCUUUCCUUGAAAGCCACUUUUAGUUGGCAGAGCUCUGUAUAGCACUGUGCAUGUCAAUGUGUGCAUUAUUAGCACUACAAAAUUGUUAGUGCUAGAAAAUUGCAUACUGUUCAUGAAGCAUAGCAUACAAUAAGCUGCAAGGUGUGAAAGCAAAUUUAACAUGACAAAACAGCUAAUAAGAAAAUCCAAUGAAGAUGUGACCUUCAAAAAAUCUUUUUUUCUUUUUUUUUUAAUGAAAGGUGAAUUUGGUGGUUAUUCCAAGGAAACAUCAUUGUCAGAUUACAGUAGUUCACAGAUUUAUCUUUACUUAAAACUGCAUUACAGCAAAGCCAUUGUAAAACCCUUAAUACUUGUUUUAAUGAAAUGUUUUUUAAAAGCAAAUACUUCAAACCCACAGAAAUGGAAAGCAGUUGCAAGAGAGAGACAGAGCUAGAAGGAAAAAUAUCACAUCUCCCAUUCUUUAUUCUGCCUUAUUCUUUUUAGAUUUUGGGAGGGAUCUGAGAGGAAAUGUGAACAGUAUUUCCAUGAUUGUACAGAAAUUAUAUGCUGUCUGGGUUGUACCAAUAAUUGCUCCAGUUUGGAGAAUUGACCAUACACGGAAAAGCACAGAACUGAUUCCAGUUGAACUAAAUUUGAAUCCUGUGAUUUCCCUUUGCAUUAUCUAACAUAGGAAAAAGAUACAUCUGGCAUAAGUUUCAUUUGCAACCCCCAUUUCAGAAAACCCUGUGUUCACCUGUGCACACCCCUCAAGUUUGUGUAUGCAAGCUCUAGGGACCACAGGUCUGCUAUCUCAAUUUUGUACAGAUCACUUUCUGGUCAAUACGCAAUAAGCACAACCUGAAAGUCAAUGAGGGGCUAAAACUUUCAUCCCCUAUCUAUGCCUGUGACAGGGCUCUUUAAGGGGGAAAAAGACAAAAAAGCUCAUAAGUUAGUCUCUGCAAAGCAGCCAAAUAUGUAUAAACUGUCAAUGUCAAGUGAGGAGCAGGAAAGAGAAGAACGGUGAUUGAGGAACUAACUAGAGAAUAGACAAAAACUCUUUCUGUUUUCCUUUCCCUACUUAGAUCCUCCCAUCUAACUCAGAAGGGUACAGCCAUUUCAGUAUCUCAUAUCACCUAGGAUGUAGAUGCUCUCAGGCCACAAACUACCUGGCACCUUGUUACAGAAACAUGGGCAGCUCUCCUUUGCAGGAAGAUUCCUCAAGGAGCCCUCCUGACCUCUUUCCAGGUAAUAUCCUCCUCGGAUGAACCAAAGCCCAGAGCUCCCUUAAGGAAGUAUUUCUCACAAUAUUCUUUCUCAGAAGCUAAAUGGAAGUACAGAAGACAGGCCCCUCUUUACAUCUUCUACUCCUGCAAAUUAAUUGCUACCUACAGCAUGUUCAGCAUGUACAGCAUGCAUCACUGAUUCCCCAUUCCAUUAAGUUCAGUUUAGAUGGGCAAUGCAAAUUAAUUGAGGAAUGCAGCAUAACCCUAAGCUUCACGGUGAAAUCCUCUGUAAAUCAAGACCCAGCUUAACUAACAUCCUAGGGACCAACAGAAAUGGCAUGUAGAUACCCAGCUAACAUGGACCAGGCUCAUCACUUCCUUAAAAGAAGCUUACGUGAUGACAGUGUAAUUUAGUUUAAUUGAUGGGACACCUGGGAGACAGAGGAGCGCUUGUGCUCAAUACAUCCUCCCCACCACCAUGCUCAAUGGCACGCAGACUCAGAGCAAAGUGAAGGGCCAGACCACAAGCUACAGAAGAGAAAUUAGAACUGCAGACAGGCAUAGAAGCUCACAGAUCUGGUGAAACAACCUGGCCCAUCACACUCGCAACAUCACCCCUCCCAAGGUGGUGGACUGGUGGCAUGUUUAUGAAAAAGACUUUGAAGGACAGCAGUGAAGCAACUUUCUGUGUAUUUACAGAUUGCUAUGACCACGCAUAUUUGGAUAAAACAAGAGAUCAAUCAUAAGGCCUGGCAUCACACACUGGAUGGAGAUACCACAGUAGUGACUAACAGAGGGGUGAAGCAGAGCCUUCAGACUUCAAGCAAGCAGAUAGUGAAGAGAUGCUGAGGGAAGAGGGCUGUACUCAAAACCACGGUCUAAGAGUGUAAUCUUGGCAGCCACACUCUGGGGGAGCUGCACAAGGAAAGACUGCAUUUAUCAUGGAAAAGAUGUAAGGAAGAGCCUAGUCCAAUAUGUUAGCUGGAUAAAAAAUGCCUUAAAACUGAGUUGAUAUAAAACAGAAUCUGCACAAGUUACAGCACAAGCAUAGGUCAAGCUGCAGACUGAACUCAGAUUAUGUGUGACAGGUUGGACCAUGGCAGUAUGCGUUGUGAUCAAGAAAGGAAAUGCAUUCCAACUUGGAAUUGAGCAAAUACAUCAUUUUACCUUUCCUCCCACCCCAUCCCACCCCUGUUUUUGAAAGAGUUAGCAUGGAGUACUUGAUAUCUGCUGUGACAAUUUCCUGGCACUUCUUUAGGUGCAGAUGAAGAACAUCUAAGUGUAACUAAGCCAUCUUUAAAGAAAAAUCAAAGGUAAUGGUCAAGAAAGCUCUAAGGAAUUCAUUCACUUGACAAACUUUCCAUACAGUAUCUUGAUUCUAAUUCUUGAUAUCUUAGUGCUACAGGAGGUCAGAGGACUGAAAGUAACUGCUGUCUACUUCCACAUGAAUGUGGAAAUCCUCUCUUUUCCAUAAUCUUAACUUCCUACUUCUUGCUGUGAAGCAAGACACUGAGGUUUUGGCAUUUGCCGUUCAGACAAAAAUGAGGGAUUUCAAAAUAUUUCACCACAGGGGAAGGAAUGUCUGUGAGUUACUCCAGAGCAGCACUGAAUGCACUUGUCUAGUAGUGAUUCAAGGCUGCUCUUCUCCAUUUCUGUAGCUGACUUUUCAAAGAAAGAGGGGAAAACAUCCAAAUCUUUUUGAAUUCAGCUGUUCCUCUGAAUAAAGUUAAAAAAGGAGGCUGAACAUUUCCUUCUCUAUUUAUGAAAGGCCAUUAUUUACGCAUUCCUGAGAUAAACUAUGGGAAACAUAAAGCAGGGUGAUUUCUGAUUGAAUCAAUAAGGAUGAAGGAUGAUGAGAACAGUUUUUGUAUCUAUUAUACAGAGCAUAACACCACUUAUAAGCCAUACAAGCUAUCACUGGGGCAGGAGCUGAGCCCCCAUGCAGCAUGGAGCAUACAAAUCCAGGCAGCGCUGUGCAGGGAAUGACAAAAGCACCUCAGUCCUCCUGGUUCCUCAGCAGUGCUGCACUUGUACCUGGGAAAAGCUCUGCCCAGAGACAAGACAGCUGAGAUUAGGUAAGGACAUCACUAAGUUGAUGGUUCACAGUAUCCUGUAUAAUUGUGGUAUUUAGCACAUGUUGUUGGAUAAGGGCUGAAACCAAUUGCAUUCUGGUUAAUCUUCCUUGAGUACCUAUGGCUGGCUGGCUGGAAGAAAAUUAUUCUGAAAUGAAUUGGUAUCUUAUAAUAAAGGUUACAUUACCCAGUAAGACCUGCUCCUGGGCUAGCCCUGCCCUAUGUCCUGAAAGACUUUGAGGAAUGUGCGGGAGGAGGAGAAACUUUCCAUUUAAAUACCUCCUAAAUUUUUUCAUUCUUUGCCUUGGUCCUCCUCUCCUUUUCCCAUCCACACUGUUCAAACUGGGAUUGAGAGUAUCCCAUGAAACAUGCUUAGUUAUCUGGAUAUUUUUCUCUAGAUAAAUUUGCCUUGUGGUUAAGGUUUUCUUGUUUAAACCUGUCUUUGAAGAUAUCUGUAGCAGAAAAUAAAAAAUAAAAAAAAUUGAGGCUGCUCUGUUUCACUAUGCACCUAGUGACCUGCCUAACUGUUGUAUGCUUCUUAAGCCCAGGACAGAGGAGUACAUACGCAGUUUUAUAAGGUUACAUAAAAAGUUACGAAUGUCUUAUGUAAGUAUUUGACUUGUUCGUAGUCAAUGGGAACUAUUUGUACAUGUAAGGCAAGCAAGAUUUACCCUGUAAUGGAUAAUCCUUUCUUCAUUUAAUAAAUAAUCCUUUGUUUACCUUUCCUCAGUUCUCAAAGUCAAUCUUCAGAACCUAAAAAAACAACCCAUGACCUCAUUACCUUCUUCCAUCAUGGUGCUGGAAGCCUAGAGAUGACUGAGCUUACAUUAACAUGUUUGCCAGUAAGCAUUUGGCCCUUUUUCCCCUCCUUUGAAACAGGUCUUCUGACAAAAGCUGUUCAGAGAACAGCCAUGAACAGAUGUGAUUUGCAUGUAAUUCUCUUUCAUCCUACACAGAACCCAGCAAGUCAGAAGCUUCCCAUGAAAAGUGUAGACCUUGUGCCUAGAAAGAUAAUUAGCCCAAAAGAAAAGGUGCAAUAUAUUCACUUGCAGCCACAGAGCUGGGAAAGCAGCUUGCAGGUUACUCCCUGCUUCCAGCCAGUCCCAGGUGGCCACAGCAUCAGGAAGGCUAGUAGGCAGUAGGCACAGCUAUGGGGUGCUCAGCAAGAUGCUAAGAGCUGGUCAGCACCACUACCUACCCUGUUUUAGCACCACACAGCUGCAUGGGGCAAGAUUUGGACACAGACGAGAAAAGCUUAAUUCAAAAACAAAAACCCAAGCCAGGAAUUUCAGAAUUCAUUUCAGUGGCUGACAUUUCUUUUUCUUGUUUCGUGUUUCACCACUGUAUGUUUUUGUGUGACUGAGUCUUCCCAACUUCAGACUUUGAAACCUCCCCACUGCACAUCAGGGCCAUAACAUACUCAACUCCUUUAACUGAGAGGAUUCUGCUGUAAAGAGAAAGAAAUUCUACUUGGGCUAAAUGAUUUCCUAUCCAGACAAAAGCCUCUUAAAGCAACAGCACUUUGCAAUAGAUCAUCAUAAAUAUUGACAUGAUUUAUUUGUAAAUGGUUAUUAAAAUUAGGUUCCUAAUCCCACGCUGAAGCCUUUAAAUCAAUGUCAACGUUUUCAAAAUGGCAAGUAUCCAGCCAGUACCCCCUGAAAUAUAUGGUGACUUUGGUGGCCAGCACUUUUGAAUGUCAAGCCAUUAAUUUAUGUGGCUAUCUUUCAGCAUCUAAUUUUGCUUCACCU
rnacentral:lncRNA from 1 species